AUGGAAGAGGAGUUGAGGUCGACCCACGACAAUAAUGCAUGGGUGCUUGUGGAUCUUCCCAACAAUGAAAAAGUCAUGGAUCUCAAGUGGGAAUUUAUGAUCAAGAAAGAUGCCGAUGGGGCCGUGAACCACAAAGCAAGGCUAGUAGCCAAAGAGUACGUGCAAGAGGAAGGUGCGGACUUCGAAGAAGUGUUCGUUCCCGUUGCAAAGAUGAAAUCGGUGGAAUUACUCAUCGCUCUCGCGGUUCAGGAAUCAUGGAAGAUACAUCACAUGGAUGUAAAAUCCGCGUUUUUGAAUGGGGAGUUAGAAGGAGAUGUUUAUGUGAAUCAGUCACCGGGAUUCAUCAAAGAGGGAGAGGAACACAAGGUAUUGAAGCUACACCAAGUCUUGUACGGGCUACGGCAAGGCUCUCGGGUAUGGAACAUCAAACUUGAUCAGAUGAUGAUUUCUCUUGGAUUUGAGAAAGCCCCACUAGAGUAUGCUAUGUACAAGAGAGGUGAAGGAAGGGAUCGUCUACUAGUUGGCAUCUACGUCGAUGAUCUAUUGAUUACUGGAGCAGAUGAAGAGGUGAUUGCAAAGUUCAAGCUACAGAUGAAGGAGCUUUUCAAGAUGGAUGAUCUAGGCCUUUUGAGUUGCAACCUCGGGAAAGAGGUACAUCAAAAGCUGGAGGGGAUCACACUAUGCCAGGAGGCAUAUGCAAAGAAGGUACUUGAAAGCCGUGGCAUGAAAGAUUGCAAUCACGUUGUCGCUUCAAUGGAACCUGGUCUUGAGAUGAGCAAGAAGGAGAUGGUGAAACUACUUGUGUAUAGUGGUAGUGACAAGGAUGGGAUUGUUGACGACUGUAAGAGUACCUCGGACGUGGCAUAUUUCCUUGGCAGAAGCAUAGUAAGCUGGCUAUCACGAAGACAGAAAGUGGUGACAUCGACUUCAAGUGAAGCAUAG
rnacentral:rRNA from 1 species